rnacentral:lncRNA from 1 species
UGCUAAAAAGCCCUGGCUUUGGAUUCAGACACAACUGGAUUUUGAGUCCAUCCCCAUGAAUUCCUAUGUCCUCUAACUUAGUAAGUUAGGAUCAAGUUUUUACCCACAUUGAAAAACCUAUCUGCAUGGUGUCUAGAAAGAUAAAUCAUAAUGGGAAACUGAUGCUUCUUAUAAAUUACCUAUCUUUCCUGAUAGCCUGUAAUAUGAUUAUGAAAGGACUUAUAUGUCACUCCCAUUUCCAAUUUAUAUUAUAGAACAUGCACAAUUUUAAUUGGCUUCAUCAGAACUGCUACAUUUAUAGAAUCUUUAUUCUUCCUCACUUAAAAGUCCUCUGACACCCAGUUCUCUGACAGAUAAUUCAACAAGGGAUUAAUAUUUAACAAAAAUAUUCAACGUCAAUAUUUACCAUUUACUCUGAAUGUACACGUUCUACCAAUGAAAGAAACAAACAGUAGUGUGCUAAAUUAAAGGAAAUAUGUAACAGGAAGUGUGAUACCAAACCCACUGGAAAUACUUAUCUUUCAAUUUCUUUCCAUUAAAACUUUUAACAGAAUUUUACACUUAGACUCUUUAAACUCUUAUAAGAUCUUCCGGAGUUCCCGUGUGGCUCAGCAGUACCAACCCAACUAGUAUCCAUGAGGAUGUGGUUUUGAUCCCUGAACUCACUCAGUGGGCUAAGGAUCCGGCAUUGCUGGGAGCUGCAGAGUAGGUCGCAGACAAGGCUCAGAUCUGGCCUUGCUGUGGCUUUGGCCAGCAGAUGCAGCUCUGAUUCCACCCCUAGCCUGGGAACUUCCAUAUGCAGGGGGCGCGGCCCUAAAAAGAAGAAAAGAAAAAAAAAAAAAAGUUUCCUUGUUACAGCACUAGGAAUUGCAAAAUGUUACCUGCACUAUUUCCAUACUGCCUUUAAGUUCAAAAAUACUUCCACAAUUAUUAGUUCAUUUAAUUCCCCCAACAACCCUGUGAAGAGUGUGUGUGUGUGUGUGUGUGUGUGUGUGUGUGUGUGUGUGUGUUAAGAAAAAAUAACUAAAGCUCAAGAGGCCAACAGAGUGAAUGGCCUGAAAUCACAGUUAACAACCUGGUCCAACUUCAGCCCAGUGCUCUUUCCUUCUCACAGACGUGGGUUCAGGGCAAAUAUAAAAAGCUGGAAGAUAAUCAAGGACUCACUUUAUUCUCUGCCUGACAACCAUCCUGACUUAAUUAUAUGAUCAGAUUUUCAAUACACUUGAGUAGAUUUCUUUUGGUAAAUUUGCCAGCAAGUAGACUAAACAUUUUGCUCGUCCUAGAUAAAAUUUAACUUUUAUAAAGAAUAUAAAAGGAAAAUGCACUAGACCACAAUCUUCUUAAAAUUGUAUUAUAAAAGUAAACCUGAAUAAGAGAUUAUAUAUGAAAUGACUCUUUUAGAAAAAUCCCUAUAAUGCAAAAACAAUUGGAGUCUUGAUACUAUUAAAGAACUAAGGUGAAUAUAAAUGUUUCAUAAAUAUCAUCUAUUUAAUUCCAGACCUAUAUGAUAUUCUAUGCUCUUUCCUGACAAUUCAUACCAAGAAUUAUGAGUUACUGCUAUUAUUCAUUUAUUUACAGAAUGAGGAUACAAAAUUAAAAUAUAUAAGGAAAAUGUGUGUAAGGGGGAAGGUAUCAAUUUUCUUACGAAGUAGAAGAAUAAAUAAGAACCUUUGAAAAAUUUAAAAAAAAAUCUUCAGUAUAAAGUCCUUUUUUUGUCUUUGCAGAUUCCUGAACACAAUUUAACUUAUGGAAAUAAGACAUGUGGGUUACCAGCGAUCACUGCAGUAAACAAUAUAAACAUGAGUGGUCAUAGCAAAUAAAAUUGGCUUUCACUUCCUAUUAGCCACCGCUAGCAAUACCCAAUGUUUAGUUUCCUUCAGAAUAUUAGAGAAGUAAUAGGAUUUUCCUUCUCAGGAAUAAUCGUGGCAUACACUAGAAGUAUGUAGGCGGAUACCCCAAGUUUCUCCUUACACCUUCCCUAAUCUACAAAAAAGUCCUAACUUCCAUUCCUGCCUUUCCCAGGAAAUGAUCAAAACAGUCCUCAGCAACCAUACAGGAAAUAGGACACAUGGUCCAGAAAUUUAAGAAAGUGGCAUCGAUGUACUUGACCUUGCUAGUUUUUGCUAGACAUCAAAAAUAACAGGAACUCUGUGCACACUUUACUUGGGAGGACAUUUUUUCCCUCACAAAGUCUUUGGAAAACAUGAUACAAUGAAAACCAAGACUAAACACCUGGUCAUGAACAAUACUCCAAAAGUGACAGUCUUCUGUGAUCAUCUCAUUUGGCAGGGGAGUCUUUCUAGAAACACUGAGAUCACCUAAAACAAAUACCCUGCCCUUGAUAAUGUCUAGAUUAUAAUGGCAGGAAAUGAGAUAUUUUUAAAUUUCUUAUUUUUGAAUUAUAAAAAAUUAUAUUCAAAGUAGAAAAAUACACCAGCUAUUUGGAUAAAUGCUCUUGAAGAUCUUAUGGUUGUUUUUUUGUUUGCUUGUUGGUUUUGUCUUUUUGCCAUUUAAUGGGCCACACCCGCGGCCUAUGGAGGUUCCCAGGCUAGGGGUUGAAUUGGAGCUGUAGCCGUCGGCCUACACCACAGCCACAGCAACACGGGAUCCGAGCUGCAUCUGCGACCUUUGCCACAGCUCACGGAAAUGCCAGAUCCUUAACCCACUGAGCAAGGUCAGGGAUCGAACCUGCAACCUCAUGGUUCCUAGUCGGAUUCGUUAACCACUGAGCCACAACAGGAACUUCUGUUUUAAAAAUUAUAAAGGAAAUAUUUUACGCCACUACAACUAAGUGGUUUUAAAAUGCUGUUUUUAAAAUAAAAACAGUUUCUAACUUUUACAUAGAAUUGCCUAAGUUCCUUUUAUUUAUUCAGAUACUUUAAGUGGCAAAAAAAUGUUAGAAAAUGUAUUCAAACGGUCUAAAUCUUGGCCACUAUGAAAGAUCUUAUGGUAUAUUUACUUGUAAAAAUGAAGUAAUUUAAUUACAUUGUUCAUGUUAAAAAUCUGGCUUGGGCCCAGAUUACCUACAAAUUAGCUCUGUUGAAAAUUUAUUUAUUAGUUAAUCCUACAAAUGCCAUAAGCCCUUAGAUGCAUUUGAAACAUUUGAUAUAUUCUUAUUCCUGUUUGCUCAUACAAUUAAGUUAUUUAGAAACAUUUUUGAAAUAAAGCAGAAAAAUAAAGAAAAUAAAAUGGAGAAGAAAUCUAAAAUAAACUUUAAUUGUUUGCAACACUUCAUAGAGCAUAUUAUCCUUAACCUUGGUAUAUAUCUUUGCACAGUCAACAUCAGACCUUAAUAUGAAAGAAGCAGCCCCAUUUUUCAGUUUUCUAAAAUUGACUAGUUAUUUCAAACCCAGUACUGUACUAUGGCAAAUAAAAUCUGAGUCAGACUUGGACAUUAAGGCUGGAUUAUGCAAUCAAACUCUAAGCAUUCAGAACCAUGGGACUAAGAUGUAAAGAGCAUCCUAGAGACUCUCAUACUAAGUGAAGUCAGUCAGAUAAAGACAAAUACAUAUGAUGUCACUUAUAUGUGGAAUCUAAUAAAAAUGAUACAAAAUAACUCAUUUCCAAAACAGAAACAGACUCGCAGAUUUCCAAAAUAAACUUAUGAUUACCAAAGGGGAAACAUGGAAGGUAGGCAUAAAUUUGGACCCAGUCCUAUAUAUAAAACAGAUAACUGAUGAGGACCUACUGUAUAACACAGGGAAAUCUACUCAAUAUUCUCUAAUAACCUAUAUGGGAAAAGAAUGGAUAUAUGUACAUGUAUAACUGAAUCACUUUGUUGUACACCUAAAAUCAACACGACAUUGUAAAUCAACUAUACUUUAAUAAUAUUUAAAGAUAAAUAAAUAAUAAAAAUAAAGAAAUAAAACAAAACAAGGAGUUCCCGUAGUGGCUCAGUGGAAAAGAAUCUGACUAGGAACCAUGAGGAUGCUGUUUCGAUCCCUGGCCUCGUUCAGUGGGUUAAAGAUCCGGUGUUGCCAUGAGCUGUGGUGUAGGUCACAGACAUGGCUCGGAUCCCGCAUUGCUGUGGCUGUGGUGUAGGCCAGCAGCUGCAGCUCUGAUUCGACCCCUAGCCUGGGAACCUCCAUAUGCCAUGGGUGUGGUCCUAAAAAGCCAAAAAACAAAAAGAGUACUCUGCUUUCCUAAUAUUUACUGUAUGAUUUUUGUAGACUAGGUAGGCUGGGUCAGCAGUCUAAAGUUAAGGAUAAAAACUUAAAGGACAAACAGCCAAACUCUGCUAUUAAGAAUCAUCAAAAUGUGAAGCAAUUUAAAAUGAAAUUUAUAUAAUUUCUUCUAGAAAGAAACAAGUUUGGCGAGUUUUAAAAGCAGAUGUCCUUAGAGAUAAUUUAGCAUCAUAAAAUGAGAUUUGUGUUUAAAUGAAAUAUAUUAUAUUUUGAGGGUACAAAAUGAUGAUGGUGAAUCAUGUUUCAAAAAUUUAAAAAGUGGCAUAUGAAUUUGCAUACAUUGUUUUAUGAAAAAUUGUAGACUAUCUUGCUUCAAUUUCCACAAAUUAAAGACUGGCAAUAUGAGCAAUCACAUCUAAAGUAAAUAAGAAUAUAUUUAAGAAGAAUUACAAUAAUAAUGGUAGUAAUAUUCAUAGUAGCCCACAUGUGCCAUGUACUGUAGCUUUCCUUUUUUAUUUUGCACAAAAAUUCUCAUAGAUAGUCUAUUGUUUCCACUUCAAAGAUGAGACUAUUUAGAAACUUUAGAUAAGUUAUCCUAUAAUAAGAUGCUAGAAAGUGGCAGAUUUGAUAUCAUAAAAUUUUAAAUACCAAAGAUCUUCAGAACUAAAAUACAUGCCAGAUUUGAAAGUCAACCGUCUACUUUUGGAAAAUAUAGUAAUGUCUUCUCGACUUGACUCUGUGAGAAUAAAGAAAAGGCAACAUAGUAGAAGGGUUUACAGAUGAGAAAUUUAAGUCUUCAGAGAGAAAAUGAUAUUAAGAUCAAAAACUGGUGAAACUAUCCAAGUCCUUACAAAUAUUCACACAAAUCAGUUAACAGAAUCACCCAUUUCUGAACACUUCUUAUGGGCUAAUGUAUAAAUCGGCUCACUUAAUUUCACAAUGACCAAAGGAGUCAUGGCCAAAAGGUGGCACAAUCAGGAUUCAAACCAAAGAAAUUCAUCUCUUCCAAAGUCCAUGUUCUCAGCCACCAUAAUGACCUCCAGCUUUUCUGGUUUCCAUUUCCCAGGAUUUAUCCAUCAGGAAACUUACACGAUAUUCCUUCCCUUAUAUAUAAAAUACUUGAAAAUCUGUUACAUAUUGUAUAUGAAUACUCAUCCCAAGAGGUUAAGUCCACAUAAAUAUCUUUCUAUUUAUGUCUCAGUGGUUCUUAUUCACCUUGUGUCUCAGGUACUUGUGAUGCAUAAUAACUUGCAUACUUGAGAAGGAAAACCACAGGAUGACUUUUUUUUCCUCAACAUCUAUCCACCCAUGGGAACCUCAUGUCACGGUCAAAGCAACUAUUUCAUGCCUUAGCUUCUGUCCUCACAACAGCUCCUGAAGCAUCCUUCUAAGGGAUGCAGAGUCACCUUGCUCAUCUUCUUCAUCUCCCUCAAAGGCUCCUGCAGUAACUAUUUCUAUUCUGCCAUUCAAUUUGAUUUCACUGUUUUUUCUCAGCCUCAUUUCUGUUUUGAUAAUUAAUCCCAAAUGAAGUGACCAGCAAUUGAGUAUAUUAGUAUAUACUGAUGUUGAGGAAAAGGCAUGUAAACAAAAAAUUACAUGCACGAGAAGGACAGAUAAAGGAAUCUCACUGUCUGGGCAGGAUUUGCAUGAGGAUAAUCAUAGUUGGUACAUUGUCAUCAUAAUCAAUUUCAAAGAGAUGGCCUCUCUAAUUUACACUUAUUGAUUUUAUAGCAGUAGAAACAACAUAGGUUGUAGCAAUUACAGGUUUGCUCAAA